rnacentral:tRNA from 1 species
GGGGUGGUGGCCUAGUCCGGUAUGGCGAUGGGCUCCAGAUCUAGGUGCAUUUCGCACCUGAAAUGGACGGGGUCAAAAACGACCAUCGUCAGCGAAGACACUCAUCGAUCGUGGGUUCGAAUCCCAUCCACCCCA